rnacentral:lncRNA from 1 species
GGCGGGGCACAGCGCGGGGCCGGCAGUAGUCCUGCCCGGCGGGGCUCCCGCUUACUCGGGUCCCCGUCCGCCCGCCCGCGCCCCGCGCCGGCCGGCCCCCGGGAAGGGUCUGCCGGGCUCUGCCUCCUCCCCGUCCCCAUCAGCCCAUCGGGCAGGGGCGGAAGAGCCGCGCGGGCCGCCUGGCCCCGGAGGAGAGGCGGGCUGCCGGUGCCCGCCCUGAGGGAUGGGCACCCCGGGGCGGGAAUGGGGCUCAGGCUGGCCCGGGGUGUGCCUUGGGGCUGAGCAAGCGCGCUGUGGCUGGCGAGGGAAGGCCGUAAAGGGCGUCUCCAUCACUCGGCUAGUUCCAAUGGUAUCGUGCUCAAUACAUCUGAAUGCCAAAUGUUGCACAGCAGCCCUUUACCCUAAACCCAAGAAUUUUGGAUGCAGUAUUGACCCACAUCAAACACUCGUCUAUCCGUAAUGGAGGAUUUGUGAGGACUUCAGGCACACAAAAUACAUUAGGAAGCAGUCAAUGGGGGCAACUGUUUGGAGAAGAGAGAAGUUUAUGUGACACUCACGGAGGCAAACAGCAAAGUCAUCAUAGUAAACAGAUUCCAGUAGAUUGCACUCAGCUCUCCUUGGCUCCUUUUAGCACGUUAAUUGUUCUUGGCAAAGCUUAUUAGGUUUUAAGGUGGGAGCCUACCAUUAUUAAAAUAUCCACUGUGUCAGAUAAUAAAAUGUGAUCUCUCUCUCUCUUCCGCCGUGUG